AUGGAAACUAUCAGCUCUUAAGGAACGGGGAACACUUAAAGAAACUGUUGAGUGGGGGGUGGCAUAAACGUGGAUAAGAAGAAAAGCAAGCUCGUAGGCAUUGCAGAUGAUGGACAGAAAGAGAUCCGCAUUGAAAGGGCAGAUGAAUUUGGCCGAAUAUUAACCCCAAAGGAAGCUUUCCGAUUGCUUUCCCAUAAAUUUCAUGGAAAAGGGCCUGGCAAAAUGAAGCAAGAGAAGCGCAUGAAGCAAUACCAGGAAGAGUUGAAGUUGAAGCAGAUGAAGAAUUCAGACACGCCUUCUUUGUCUGCAUAGAGGAUGAGGGAAGCUCAAGCUCAAAUGAAGACACCUUAUCUUGCGCUUAGUGGUCAUGUUAAGCCUGGG